rnacentral:rRNA from 1 species
UACGAAGGGGGCUAGCGUUGUUCGGAAUUACUGGGCGUAAAGCGCGCGCAGGCGGUUCUCCAAGUCAGUGGUGAAAGCCCGGAGCUCAACUCCGGAACUGCCAUUGAAACUGUUGAACUUGAGGACGAGAGAGGUGAGUGGAAUUCCCAGUGUAGAGGUGAAAAUUCGUAGAUAUUGGGAAGAACACCAGUGGCGAAGGCGGCUCACUGGCUCGUAUCUGACGCUCAGGCGCGAUAGCGUGGGGAUCAAACAGG